ACGCUGGCGGCGUGCCUAAUACAUGCAAGUCGAACGGACAAGUAAGAGCUCGCUCUUAUGAGUUAGUGGCGCACGGGUGAGUAAUGUAUAGCUAAUCUGCCCUACACUAGAGGACAACAGUUGGAAACGACUGCUAAUACUCUAUACUCCUCUCUAGCAUAAGUUAGAUAGGGAAAGUUUUUCGGUGUAGGAUGAGGCUAUAUUGUAUCAGCUAGUUGGUGAGGUAAUGGCUCACCAAGGCUAUGACGCAUAACUGGUCUGAGAGGAUGAUCAGUCACACUGGAACUGAGACACGGUCCAGACUCCUACGGGAGGCAGCAGUAGGGAAUAUUGCUCAAUGGGGGAAACCCUGAAGCAGCAACGCCGCGUGGAGGAUGACACUUUUCGGAGCGUAAACCCCUUUUGUUAGGGAAGAACAAUGACGGUACCUAACGAAUAAGCACCGGCUAACUCCGUGCCAGCAGCCGCGGUAAUACGGAGGGUGCAAGCGUUACUCGGAAUCACUGGGCGUAAAGGACGCGUAGGCGGAUUAUCAAGUCUCUUGUGAAAUCCUAUGGCUUAACCAUAGAACUGCUUGGGAAACUGAUAAUCUAGAGUGAGGGAGAGGCAGAUGGAAUUGGUGGUGUAGGGGUAAAAUCCGUAGAGAUCACCAGGAAUACCCAUUGCGAAGGCGAUCUGCUGGAACUCAACUGACGCUAAUGCGUGAAAGCGUGGGGAGCAAACAGGAUUAGAUACCCUGGUAGUCCACGCCCUAAACGAUGUAUACUAGUUGUUGCUAAGCUAGUCUUGGCAGUAAUGCACCUAACGGAUUAAGUAUACCGCCUGGGGAGUACGGUCGCAAGAUUAAAACUCAAAGGAAUAGACGGGGACCCGCACAAGCGGUGGAGCAUGUGGUUUAAAUUCGAAGAU
rnacentral:rRNA from 1 species